AGAGACAACAGGGAUGCCCUAGUAACGGCGAGUGAAGCGGCAACAGCUCAAAUUUGAAAUCUGGCCCUCGGGUCCGAGUUGUAAUUUGUAGAGGAUGAUUUUGGUUAGGUACCUUCCGAGUUCCUUGGAACAGGACGCCUUAGAGGGUGAGAGCCCCGUACGGUUGGAUGCCGAGCCUCUGUAAAUCUCCUUCGACGAGUCGAGUAGUUUGGGAAUGCUGCUCUAAAUGGGAGGUAAAUUUCUUCUAAAGCUAAAUACCGGCCAGAGACCGAUAGCGCACAAGUAGAGUGAUCGAAAGAUGAAAAGCACUUUGAAAAGAGGGUUAAAUAGUACGUGAAAUUGUUGAAAGGGAAGGGCUUGUGACCAGACCUUUGCCUUGCGGAUCAUCCGGUGUUCUCACCGGUGCACUCCGCUUGGUUGAGGCCAGCAUCAGUUUCGGCGGCGGGAUAAAGACUUCAGGAACGUGACUCCCCCGGGAGUGUUAUAGCCUGCUGUGUAAUACCGCCGCUGGGACUGAGGACCGCGCUUCGGCUAGGAUGCUGGCAUAAUGGUCAUCAGCCACCCGUCUUGAAACACGGACCAAGGAGUCGAACAUUUAUGCGAGUUUUUGGGUGUUAAACCCUCAAGCGUAAUGAAAGUGAACGGAGGUGAGAGCCCUUACGGGUGCAUCAUCGACCGAUCCUGAUGUCUUCGGAUGGAUUUGAGUAAGAGCAUAACUGUUCGGACCCGAAAGAUGGUGAACUAUGCGUGGAUAGGGUGAAGCCAGAGGAAACUCUGGUGGAGGCUCGCAGCGGUUCUGACGUGCAAAUCGAUCGUCAAAUCUGCGCAUGGGGCGAAAGACUAAUCGAACCAUCUAGUAGCUGGU
rnacentral:rRNA from 1 species